AUCUGCCUGAAAUAAAUUUUCCAAGGGAAAGAUGCUGAGAGAGUCUAGGCAACCCAGUGGGAGACUUAAUGCAGAGUUCUCCCUCCCCGCCCCCCGGAACUCUGGAUUCUCGGGUUCACUGCACCCCACAUCCCAAGAUUAUUAAUGCAUGUUUCCCUCUCAGAUUCCUGAUCUGCAGACGUCUUUGCCUUUCUCCGAGUCCCUGUACUAUUAAUGUUUUUUUUUUUUUGAAUGGCACCACACUCCCUCUGAGCUCUUUCCAAACUUGCUUAAGCUAAAUAUAGCUCCCCCAGGUCUGGGAACAAUCCGUUGCUAUGUGUUCUGAAAUUCCACUAACUGUUUACAUGCCUCCAGCCAUAAGUCUAAGCCAGGCAUUUGCUGAGAACUCUCUGACCACCCCUGACCCCUACUAUUGCUAGCCUACAGGGCGUAAGUGGUAGCUUUGUUGGAGACGCACAGCCCCAAGCUUACAUGAUGGUUGUCAAUGUUUGAUGACUUCAGCACUCUGGACAGCUCCCGGGGCCAGGGUAAGGGCUGAAACCUCCUCCAAGACUCCUCUAUUCUAGUUCAGUCUUUGAACACCUAAAUCACCAAAACUUUGCAAAUCACUCACACUCCUAGAUCGCCUCCCCGUUCGAAUGACUUUGUGGAGAGCAGACAGGAUUACAGUCACCUCAGCGCUCCUCACACGGGAGACAACAUUAAUGGGAUUCUGGGACACUCUGUGAGCUGGAAAGACAGUUCCUCCGACUUUGGCCUGCCUACAAAAGCCAGGAGAGAGUCUUGCAAGGAUGGCUGGGGGCUACUGCACGAGGCUGCCAGUGCAGCUGGGCCUCUGGGCAAGCUAGGUGAAAGCAUACGAGGUCAUUCAAGACGUGCCGAGUUCGAGUCCUCGUGUGACCUGGGAUUUAUAUUGCAGAAGAAAUGGAACAGCAAAGAUGGACCCAUCUCGUGGCAAAGAGGUGGUGUGAGGAAGCCGGGUGUGUUUUAAAGUCCGCUCUAGUACUUUCCUUGUUCUUGAAAUUAAGAGUGGAGAGGCUGGAGAGAUGGCUCAGUGGUCAAGUACGUGAACACUUGAAGACCAACAUUCAGUUCCCAGCACCCACAUCAGAAGGCUCACAAACCCCUGUAACUUCAG
rnacentral:lncRNA from 1 species